rnacentral:rRNA from 1 species
UACGUAGGCAGCGAGCGUUGUUCGGAAUUACUGGGCGUAAAGAGUGUGUAGGCGGUGCUCCCAGUCUGUUGUGAAAUCUCCCGGCUUAACUGGGAGGGUGCAGCGGAAACUAGAGUGCUAGAGGGUGGGAGAGGUAAGCGGAAUUCCUGGUGUAGCGGUGAAAUGCGCAGAUAUCAGGAAGAACACCUAUGGCGAAGGCAGCUCUCUGGGACGGUACUGACGCUGAGACGCGAAAGCGUGGGGAGCGAACAGG